CGUGUAGGCUGCUCCAAAAGUCGGAUGUGAAAGCCCUGGGCUCAACCUAGGAAGUGCAUUCGAAACUGCGGAGCUUGAGUCCUGGAGAGGAAGGCGGAAUUCUCGGUGUAGAGGUGAAAUUCGUAGAUAUCGAGAGGAACACCGGUGGCGAAGGCGGCCUUCUGGACAGUGACUGACGCUGAGACGCGAAAGCGUGGGAGCAAACAGGAUUAGAUACCCUGGUAGUCCACGCCGUAAACGAUGGGUGCUAGGUGUCGCGGGCUUUGACCCCUGCGGUGCCGUAGCUAACGCAUUAAGCACCCCGCCUGGGGAGUACGGCCGCAAGGCUAAA
rnacentral:rRNA from 1 species